AUGACUGCUCCCUCGUCACCGCUGCUCACGCUGGUCCUCCUCCUGCUUACGUCGUCGCCGGCCGUGGCGUGCGCCCACCCCGGCGGCGACCUCAAGCGCAUCCGCGUGUACAUGCACGAGACCCUCUCGGGGCCGAACGCGACCCUGCUGACGUCGGUGCAGUCCCCGCUGGGCGGCAGCGCAACGUUUGGUCAGAUCGGCGUGCUGGACAACGAGCUGCGGGACGGGCCGGACCGGGGUAGCUCGUCGCUGCUGGGCCGUUUCCAGGGCUUGUUCGCCAUGACGGGGCUGGCUAGCACGCCAGGCCUGUUGUCGGCGGUCAACGUCGUGUUCACUGCCGGGCAGCACCGCGGGAGCACGCUGGCCAUGUUGGGCACGAUACAGGACUUACGGGCUACCGUCGAGCGCACCGUCGUCGGCGGGACCGGCGCGUUUCGGAUGGCGCGCGGGUACAGCUCCAUGGUUUACGUGCCUGAGGCGAGCACGACGAACCACGAUGUCUAUAGGAUCGACUUCUUUGUUGAUGUUUAG
rnacentral:rRNA from 1 species